UUACCAGGCCUUGACAUGCAGAGAACUUCCAGAGAUGGAUUGGUGCCUUCGGGAACUCUGACACAGGUGCUGCGUGGCUGUCGCCAGCUCGUGUCGUGAGAUGUUGGGUUAAGUCCCGUAACGAGCGCAACCCUUGUCCUUAGUUACCAGCACGGUUAUGGUGGGCACUCUAAGGAGACUGCCGGUGACAAACCGGAGGAAGUGGGGAUGACGUCAAGUCAUCAUGGCCCUUACGGCCUGGGCUACACACGUGCUACAAUGGUCGGUACAAAGGGUUGCCAAGCCGCGAGGUGGAGCUAAUCCCAUAAAACCGAUCGUAGUCCGGAUCGCAGUCUGCAACUCGACUGCGUGAAGUCGGAAUCGCUAGUAAUCGUGAAUCAGAAUGUCACGGUGAAUACGUUCCCGGGCCUU
rnacentral:rRNA from 1 species